rnacentral:rRNA from 1 species
GUCUACAGCCAUACAACCCUGAAUGUGCACCCAAUCUUGUCUGAUCUCGGAAGCUAAGCAGGGUCAGGCCUGGUAGAGAAAUGGUAACUGUGUGACA